UACAGAGGGGGGCAAGCGUUUGUUCGGAAUUACUGGGCGUAAAGGGCGCGUAGGCGGCACGGCAAGUCAGGAGUGAAAGCCCGGGGCUCAACCCCCGGAAUGUCUUUUGAAACUGCCGAGCUAGAGUGCGGAAGAGGCAACUGGAAUUCCCAGUGUAGCGGUGAAAUGCGUAGAUAUUAGGAAGAACACCAGUGGCGAAGGCGGCUCACUGGUCCGGUACUGACGCUGAGGUGCGAAAGCGUGGGGAGCGAACAGG
rnacentral:rRNA from 1 species